GGAUCGAAGUAGAAUAAGAAGAGCACGGACAAAAUGGAGAAGAAGAGAGCAUGGGACAGUAUGAACACCAGAGUUUGCCACUGGUCCAUGCCGUAGAUUGCGUAGAUCUGCGUCCAGUCUCUGCUGCCAUUUGUCUUUCCCAUUUCAGGUAUGCCUCUCGGAAUCUGAAUAUCGUACUCUUUAGCGGCUUUGCUGCUGUCAAGUAGAUUUUGAUUUGUGUUUGGGAGAGAGUCUUUUAAUUUUCAAGACCUAAAACGGGAAGAGAAAUAAGAUUUAACAUUUCAGGAGUCAAAUUAAAACAAAAUCUUUCCAAACAAGAAUUUAUAAACACAACAAAAAUCCUCAAAUUCAAGUUGGAGAAACCGUUCAC
rnacentral:lncRNA from 1 species